CGGGGGGUAGGGUCCCUUAGCCCGGAUUGCGAGAGGGUGCAGUCCAGGCUGAGGGUACCCACUGGUGCAUG
rnacentral:pre_miRNA from 1 species